rnacentral:rRNA from 1 species
GGGGUAGAGGAAGCUUGCUUCCUUGAGACCGGCGCACGGGUGCGUAACGCGUAUGCAAUCUACCUUGUACAGGGGGAUAGCCCAGAGAAAUUUGGAUUAAUACCCCAUAGUAUUAUUGAGUGGCAUCACUUAAUUAUUAAAGUUCCAACGGUACAAGAUGAGCAUGCGUCCUAUUAGCUAGUUGGUGUGGUAACGGCACACCAAGGCUACGAUAGGUAGGGGUCCUGAGAGGGAGAUCCCCCACACUGGUACUGAGACACGGACCAGACUCCUACGGGAGGCAGCAGUGAGGAAUAUUGGACAAUGGGCGCAAGCCUGAUCCAGCCAUGCCGCGUGCAGGAAGAAGCAUCUAUGGUGUGUAAACUGCUUUUGUACGGGAAGAAACACUGCUACGUGUAGCAGCUUGACGGUACCGUAAGAAUAAGGAUCGGCUAACUCCGUGCCAGCAGCCGCGGUAAUACGGAGGAUCCAAGCGUUAUCCGGAAUCAUUGGGUUUAAAGGGUCCGUAGGCGGUCUAAUAAGUCAGUGGUGAAAGCCCAUCGCUUAACGAUGGAACGGCCAUUGAUACUGUUAGACUUGAAUUAUUGGGAAGUAACUAGAAUAUGUAGUGUAGCGGUGAAAUGCUUAGAUAUUACAUGGAAUACCAAUUGCGAAGGCAGGUUACUAUCAAUAUAUUGACGCUGAUGGACGAAAGCGUGGGGAGCGAACAGGAUUAGAUACUCUGGUAGUCCACGCCGUANACGAUGGAUACUAGCUGUUCGGAGCAAUCUGAGUGGCUAAGCGAAAGUGAUAAGUAUCCCACCUGGGGAGUACGUUCGCAAGAAUGAAACUCAAAG